GAUAAAGAGAGGAAUUGAACCAAUGUAUACAGGACUACAGCCUGCCGCCUAACAUUCGGCCACUUUACC
rnacentral:tRNA from 1 species